GGAAGAGUGGCCGAGUGGUUUAAGGCAACGGUCUUGAAAACCGUUGCCGGAAAUGGGAAAGACCUUGGAAACAUUGGUCUUUUCCG
rnacentral:tRNA from 1 species